rnacentral:rRNA from 1 species
CCUACGGGGGGCUGCAGUAAGGAAUAUUGGUCAAUGGACGAAAGUCUGAACCAGCCAUCCCGCGUGCAGGAUGAAAGCCCUAUGGGUUGUAAACUGCUUUUAGCAGAGAAGAAAAGCUUUCAUUAAUGAGAGUCUGACGGUAUCUGCAGAAUAAGCACCGGCUAACUCCGUGCCAGCAGCCGCGGUAAUACGGAGGGUGCGAGAGUUAUCCGGUAUUACGGGGGCGUAGGGGUGGUAUUACGGCAGUUGUGAAAUCUUGUCGCUUAACGAUCAAAUUGCCAAUGUUACUGGUACUCGUGAAUUGGGUUGAGGUUAGCGGAAUGUGACAUGUAGCGGUGAAAUGCAUAGAUAUGUCAUGGAACACCAAUUGCGAAGGCAGCUAACUGGGCCUUGAUUGACGCUGAGGCACGAAAGCGUGGGUAGCGAACAGGAUUAGAUACCCUUGUAGUC